UGAUCUAAACUUUAUAAUUGUAUUUUGAUUGUUAUAUCUAAGAUUUCACAUGUACAAUAUCAUCCCGUAUAUCGACCCAAAUCCGUCUUACCAUAUAACCCCGUCCUAUGAAAUUUAAAAUCAUUUUGUCAUAGUUUUAUAAACUUCAAA
rnacentral:sRNA from 1 species